UUGCCUUGAGAUCUUUAAUUGCAUGUGAGACAUUUACGUUUAACAAAAUCGUGUUUUAUUUUUGCAGUUUUCCAGGUUGCCAUGGUGACACAGAUGGAAGACCAUACAUACAGAACAUUGACUGACGUGUUUUCAGGUUUAGAAAUUAUAGGGCUGUGCUUUAGUGGCGAAGACCAAGAACAUACAUACAGAUCACGGAGGGAGGUGUUGCCAGACCCGGGGAUUAGCAUAAAUGGGUUACCAUGGAAACGUAUAUCAUCAUCUGGGCAGUGGCACAAAUGGAUGACCGACGUUUAGAUGUACAACGUUAUAGAACAGCGUUUGGAGCUUAUAAGGUGUGCAUGUUUACUUUUUAUUUCUUGUGGCAACACUUUGGUAUGUUUCUUUCUGUUAUGUUUUGUGCAUACCUUUCUACAUCUUUACACGCAACAGGGUUACCAUGGAAACGAAAAUCUUCAUCUAGGCAAUGGUUGAAUGAUUGACCAACGUUUAGAUCUACAACGUUAUACAAAAGCGUUUGGAGCAUAUAAGAGCUGCCAUGGAACUUACUGUUACAUCUAGGUGAUGGUAUGAAUCGACGUUCAGAAGUUGUAUAGCAGAAUUUGGAGCAUAUAAGGUGUGUGUUUACUUUUUAGCUCGACUAUUUGAAGAAUAGGGGAGCUAUCCUACUCGCCCGGCGUCUGCGU